AAGAGGUAUUAAGAUUGACUACCAAACUGAAGGUCUACAGAACCAUUGUGCUGACUUCAUUGUUGUAUAACUGUGAAACCAGGACAGUCUACUAGUGCCAUGCCAGGAAACUGAAUCACUUCCAUUUGAAUUGUCUUAGGAAGAUUCUGAAGAUCACCUGGCAAGAUAAGGCACUGGACACAUGUCCAGUUCUUGAGCUAAACUGCCAAGCAUUCAAACUCUAUUGCAGAGAGCACAAGUCUGAUGGACCGGCCACAUUGUUAGGAUGCCAAAUCUACAUUUGCCUAAAAGACUAUUUUAUGGAACUCACACAAGAUGGAGACUGGAGAUGUCAAUGAAUUUGUGAGUUUCAAAAAUUUAGAAGACCAAGACAUCAGAAGUCAAGGAGCUGGAGUGCAAGUGGAAUUUGCUGGAAAUCAGUGGAGACAAGAGAAGGAAGGGAAGAACAUCAGAAUCCAGACACCAGUGGAUUCUAUCAGAGAAGAGAUGCCUUCACUGACCCUCUAAGGGUACCCCUAGAACCUUAAGGGGAAGAUGUAGCUCCUGUGAAUCUGUGAAAGUGAGACAAUGGCAAAAGUAAAUUGGUUGACUUCGGGAAAAAGGAAAUUCCUGUCAUAUGGAAAUGGAUAGAUGACUAGCAAUGGGAUCUCUGGGGAGGAGGAACCAGAGGGUCUCCUAAGUGACCACAAAGUCAAAGGGGUAUAUUAUUCUAGAGCAUGACAUAAUCGGCAACAUGUUGAUCAGGAUUUCACCACCUACAAGUAACUCUUCUUCUAUUUGGACUCAGAACAAGCCAUCCUUCACAAGAGUGGUAACAAUUUCCAUGAUGGCAUGUAAAAUAAUAUUUAAAAUUUUAUUAAAUUGAAAGUGGGUAUUGCAGAUUAUAUAGUUGACCAUACGACUGGAAGCAAGUUACAUAUUAACUAAAUGCUCCACCAUCCAAAAUGAUGCACUAAGUCAAGGAAAAUCUCUUCUUAAAAUUCAUUUUAGUCUUAAACCAAAAAGUUAUGCAGUUAAUCAUACAAGUAAAUUAUUUAUCAAAUUUAUCAAGGGUCACUAGUUUUAAUCUUCCUGGUGAUCAAUCUUAUUUAUCCUUUUGAUUUACUAGGGUUCACUGGUUUAAAUCUUCAUGAUUUAACUCUAUAUAUUAGUUCAAAAAAUCAAAAGAAAGCUUAAUAGUGCCUUAACACAGUUUUAGAACUUAACCGUGCAAGAGGAAAGCUUUGAGGACCAUAAUGAACUUCAAAAUAUAGGAUUAGAGAUUUAAAGAUGGAAGGGAAUUUGGAGAUUAAUUAAUCCAAUCCCUAACAUUUUCUACAUAAUGAAAUUGAGACCUAAAGAGGUGAUGUCUUCUUAAGGUCACAUGAUAGCAAAUGAUAGGCCAGAGAGUUCUUGAACCCAGACACUUUGAUGCCAGGAACAAGAUUCUUUUCGAUCCAGAUGUCACAGACAUCUUAGAACAAAGAAAAAGUAAUAAUCUGGCACGAUUUUAUCCAACUCUUCAUAAUAAAAUUCAUUCAUUACGUUCCUUAAGAUAAAUGGAGGAUCAUAGGUAAGAAUCAGCAAUACUACUCAAGUUCAACUAGAAACAUCCUUUAUCUUAAAAGGUAUUUUCUUUCCCAGAAGAAAAGUUUUCUCUAAAGUAAUCCAAAGAAAACAAACACUAACCCUAGUGAUCAACAAAUAAGAAUAAUUAUUGAAGUAAUUAUUAGGUAGGAUAAGAUGUUUUAUAUAGGUAUUGUUAAGUCAUUUGUUUUGUUAUCCAAUUUUCUCAUUGAAAAUAGUUCCCAGAGUAGAAAUUAAUAGGGUGGUGCAGUCAAGACGGUAGAAUAGAGGAAACAUUCAGCAGAGCUCUCCCAACAUCGCCCUCCAAACAACUUUAAAAUGAUGCCUCAAAUCAAAUUCUGGAGUGGUAGAGACAACAAAAAGAUUGGGGUGAGACAUUCUUCCAGCCCAAGACAACUUAGGAGGUUGGAAGGAAAGAGCUGUACCCCACAUGUAAUACUGGUGAUGGGACUUGGUGGUGACUGAAAAAACAGUGGCUUUAAGAGCUCUCAAGCCAGAGAUGGUAAAUGGACCUGGAACCUGGUCAGAAGCAAAUUACAGGGAACCCUUGUGCUACCACUGGACAUAGGACUGGAUGCUGUUUGGUGAUUCCAUUGCCUGUACCCACUCCCAGGUCAUAGUUCAAGGGCAAAGAGGAACAAUUUUGGUCAAGAGGGAGCAGGAGCCAUGAGGAACAGUAGGGAUAGCAAUUCCAAGAGACAGUGACCCUCUCCACCCAACAUGGAGAAGAGAUUCCAGCUUUAGCAUAAAGUUCAAAGUCAAGAAAUAGGCUGGGAAAAUGAGCAAACAACAACAACAAGAAUCUGACUAUAAAAAGCUACUAUGGUGACAGAGAAGAUCCAGACAUAAACUCAGAAGAAGACAAUGAGCCUUUGCUCAAACCCGUCCAGGGACCAGGAACUUACUGCUUGAUGGGGCAGCCAGGUCUUACUAUUAUCUAAUAUUCCUUCUAUAAGGAAGAAAAGCUUUCAACCAAUGAAAAUAAAGCUUAAGUGCUAAUGCAAAUGAAAAAGUGAUCGUCCCUGACCUCAAGAAGGUUACUUUCUAAAUAGGGGAGAAAACACAAAGGGGAGUGGUGACAAGAGAAGGAAGAGUGGAACAAUAGGUCAAUUAAUUAAUAUGUUCUUUAUGGUAUUUGUUUGAUUGCAGAAUAAUAAUGAAUAUUGAGUAGAUAUGAAAGUGGCAGUAGGAUGGAAGAUGGCUGGGAGAAAGAAAUAUGGUCCUAGAGAGAACUGAAACUGAAUGAUUUAGCUCCUCUUGGGCAUGGCUCUAGACAUCUAGUUUAAAUAGUAAAACAGAAACAAUAUAUCACAAAUGACUUGGGUAUUCACCAGUUUUAGGAAUAAUAAUAUAUGAGAUACUAGAAAAAAAUGAAGGAAAACUUUGAGAGGAGUUGAAAUGGCUUGUAACUUUCCAGACUUGGCCCUAUACAACAACGGAAAAUGGGUGACCAAUUAAGAUUAGUACAUAUACUCAUGAUAACAGAUGUUAUAAGAAUUGCAGAGGGAGAGAGGGAGGAAGGAACAAAGGGAUGAAGGAAUGAAGGAAGGAAGGACCCAUCAA